GUUUCACAUUUUCAGGUUCCUUCCCUGCAACUUUGAAGAGGCAUGAAACAGACUUCUUAGGAAAAACACAUGCCGUGCCUCGUUCUCCACCCCUGCCUGAACAGUGGGGACCACUUCUUCAUUCGAUGAGUCCAAAGCAUCAGCUAGUCUGAGGUGUGAGAAAAUCAUGUAAAGUGCCUCUGCUGGUGGAUGCCUGUCAAAAGGAAACAACCCUGGUUUACCCAGAGAAUGUGGAAAGAUCUGAGACGCAAUUUUAAAAAAUCUCUUGAUGGAACAUACAUGCCUCUCCCUGAAGUGCUCCUUGUGCUCCUCGGCCUGAGCUGCAUCUUCUUUGGGAACGACAUGCAGUGAAGAACUUAAGGAUGGAUGGAAAGUGUCUGGAAGUGGAGUUUUAGCUAUAUGAAGGAAUCCUUUAUUGGAAGAAAGGUGGAGAAAGCCUGCACCUUCUGCAAUAUUUUCCCCAGCUACUCUCUUGCCACACUGAUUUGUGCCUGUAAUGGAUAUCUUGGGUGAAGGACUUCACCCUCUUCACCCAAGUCCAGCCGAUUUCCAGUAAGGUAUCAGUACACGUGCACAUGUACAUGCAAAGAGAGACAGUGAGUGCCUAUUCAUGUGUAUGGUUUACAUGACAGGUGGGUCAGAAGAGACAAACAUAGUCUGUCAUAAAGUAUAAUUACUCUAGGAAAAGAAAAGGUUAGUAUUAUCUGGUUGAUCUUUCUUUGCAUAUUUGUGUUAUUUCCAGCAUGUUAUGAGACAUUAGUGGGUUUUGACUAAUUGCUUUGUCCUCACUUACUCCGGUGUGACUCCAUCAGCUUCUCUGGUACUGAACCAAUAUACCUGAACACGCCACUAAACGAUUAUUGGUUCCCAUGCUUUGUUACACAGAUGUGACGCAGAGCAGAAGCAAGCUGACCCUGAGGCCAAACAUGUGGUGUGGUUACAAAGAUCAGUGAUGAGGACAGCACCCUCCAAUUACU